UUGGCUGAUAGUUCCCUCUCUGAUUGGGAGGCGCAUGUAAAGCUUAAGCAGGCUAGAUGCCGCAAUGAGCUGCAGCAGUACAUUGGUGAAGGUUUCCAUCCUUGUACACCAGAUUUCGAGAUUCUUAAGUGGUGGGCUGUGAAUUCAGCAAGGUACCCAAUCCUUGGCAACAUUGCCCGUGAUGUGCUAGCUGUACCAGCUUCCACGGUUGCCUCUGAAUCUGCAUUCAGCACAUGUGGGAGAGUUAUUACAGAUCAUAGAAGUAGUCUAGCACCUGAAACUCUCGAGGCAUUAAUGUGUUAUGGAGAUUGGAUUCGAACUAUCCAAUCUUCAGAAGCUGGAGAGAAGACCGGGUGUGAAAACUAACUUCAUUAUAUUUGCCAUGUAUCGACAUUUGGAGGCUUUGCCAAAGCUGAGUCAUGUUUGUUACAAGUUGAUGCAUCUAGUAAUGUACAUCUCCAGUUUAAGGACGUUUGAUUUUGGAUAAGACAAAGCCGAACUAGCUUUACAUGCAGGCAGGGGAAGUGAGUGAAGAGAGGGACUCUUAAGCUUAUACUUGUUAGUGAACUAAGCUGAGGCUGCUGGUUUGGAUUAGCUGCAGUAGACACAUGUUAUGACAACUAGUAUCUUGUCAAUUCUUCUAAAGCUACAAGAUCUGUUCUGCCAGUUUUAGGAAAAGGUGAUUGCAUUUGAAUAGACAAUGUCAAGAGCUUUGCAUCGGCUAAUAUGUAAUAGUUGAGAUAGUAUGUGCUAUUUAUUCUUGUGCUUUAAAAUUUGAACGGAGAAGUAUUUGGCUUCACGGCGUCCUCUUAUAUCUUUUACUCUUGUCGAUGGUUGAAGGCUUCGAAGCCCAAG